rnacentral:rRNA from 1 species
GGGCCCGCACAAGCGGAGGAACAUGUGGUUUAAUUCGAUGAUACGCGAGGAACCUUACCCGGGCUUGAAAUGCAUUCGACUGGGUCGGAAACGGCCUUUCCCUUCGGGGCGGAUGCGUAGGUGCUGCAUGGUUGUCGUCAGCUCGUGCCGUGAGGUGUCGGCUUAAGUGCCAUAACGAGCGCAACCCCUGUCGUCAGUUGCCAUCGGUAUAAGCCGGGGACUCUGGCGAGACUGCCAUCGUAAGAUGCGAGGAAGGUGGGGAUGACGUCAAAUCAGCACGGCCCUUAUGUCCGGGGCGACACACGUGUUACAAUGGGCGGUACAGCGGGAAGCUACCCGGCGACGGGGAGCCGAUCCCGAAAUCCGCUCACAGUUCGGAUCGGAGUCUGCAACUCGACUCCGUGAAGUCGGAUUCGCUAGUAAUCGCGCAUCAGCCACGGCGCGGUGAAUACGUUCCCGGGCCUU